rnacentral:rRNA from 1 species
AGAAUCAACGCUGGCGGCGUGCCUAACACAUGCAAGUCGAACGAGAAAGUGGGAGCAAUCCCAUGAGUAAAGUGGCGCACGGGUGAGUAACACGUGACUAACCUACCCUUGAGUGGGGGAUAACCUAGGGAAACCUGGGCUAAUACCGCAUAAUACCUACGGGUCAAAGGAGCAAUUCGCUUUAGGAGGGGGUCGCGGCAGAUUAGUUAGUUGGCGGGGUAAUGGCCCACCAAGACAGUGAUCU